UCCAAGGCCAGGAGGCCAUCUGUCCAGCAGACGCUCCCCUGUCCUCCCUCGGGUCACAUUGAGCCUCCCCCCCCACACACACACACACCCAGGUUGGCAGGAAGAGCCCCUGCAGAGAGAUCAUUUCCCACCCUGAUCAACAGGCCUGGUCACCCCCUGAAGACCCCCAACUCUGGGGCAGGAAUACCUGUCUGCUCCCGAAGAAACCUCCCCCAGGGUCAGAACUUGGGUGGAGGUGGGGGGAAGGACCGAGGGGCUCCCAAGAGGGUCGAUCCCCGAAGUGUCCGCCCCAGGACGGCGCCAGCUCUCGGCGCGGCGGGGGACGGAAGGACUGACAGGGCGCCCCGGCGGGGUGAAGUGGCACCGUUAUCCGCGCCCGGGCGGGGGGCCGCGGGCUGUGGCCGAGGGCGGCCGCCUGUCCCGCGCGGGGAGGACAGCGGCGGCGGGUCGCGGCGGCGGCAGGGGCAGGCGGCCCGUCGGCCGGGGGCGGGGUGGGGUGGCGGCCGGGGCCCGCCAGGCGGCGGUCGGGGGAAGUGGCUGCCGCCUAGCCUCGGGCGGCGCGCAGGGUCCGCCCGGCUGCAGGGCCGCGGCGCGGGCGCGGGCUCGGCCCCGGCUCCGCGCGGCCCCGGCCCGCCGGCUGGGUCGGCCUCGGCGGCGGCGGCGGCCCCGGCCCGCAGGCUCCCCGCCCCGGCCCGGCCCGCGGGGGGGCGCUUACCUGGCGGCGGCGGCGGCGGCUGCAGGCCCCGGGCUCGGCCGCGCGCGUCCCCAGCGCCGGCUGCGGGAGCCACAACAUGGCGACGGCGGUGGCGGGCGGGGCUGCGGCUCCGGGGGCGGAGCGGGGGCGGGAGCCGGCCUGGCGGCGGGACCCGGCUGGGGCCGCGGGCGGGGGGGCGAGGGGGGGGGGGCGGGCGGAAGGCGACUCGGACCUGGGCGCCGGCCCAGAGCCGCGCGGCGGAGGGGCUGCCCCGGCCUGGGCCCGGCCUCCGGCCUCCCGCUCCCGCCUCCGGCCUCCCGCCUCCCGCCCCGAGGCGGGCUGCGCGGCGCGGGCGGCGGCGGCGGGGCGGGGACGGCGCCGCUCACGGCUGGACCCCCGACCCCGCGCGCCCCGGCCGGACCCCCGGCCCUGCCCCGCCCGCCCCGCCCGCCCCGCCGAGCACCCGGGCGCCGCGGCUCCGGCCCCGCCGCCUCUCCCUGCGCCCUGGGCCCCUCGUCCUCCGCCGCGCCUCCCGGGCGGGGGCCUUGGGCAGGGGCCGCCGUCUCCCGCUAGAGGGACCCGAGCUGCCUCUGCGGCCGUCUCGCCCCAACCGACGGCGAGCGCCUCCGGAGCCGGGACGGCGUUCUCGUCACUUAGAACUGGCACGUAGUGGGGCCUAG
rnacentral:lncRNA from 1 species